ensembl:lncRNA
CUCCUGCUUGUUGCAUUACAAUGUAAGUUGUAAGUGUACUGAUCGGAGAGCAUGGUAAGAUUUAACAUGGUAUCCAUUCCUGGGAGUAAUGUUUGUUUCUCAUAUCUAUUCAGUGUCUUGACCAAAAGCAUCAACAUCUAAACAAAUACAAAUUCAGCAAUCUAAUGAUUACACAUCUAAGAUGGAGAGAACAAAGAAAAUAUAAGUUGUUUGUCUGUUUUCAGGUUUUCUACCUUUUCAAAAGAUGCAAUGUCUAUGAUGUUUCUUUUGUUUGAUGAAGAUCGUAAAAUGAAUUAAAAAGGAGCCAGAAAGGGCAGCAAUUGUUGACAAUGGUUGACAAUGGUUGUAGGGAUAUUUGUGUGAAGGUGUUCUUAAAAACAUGCAGUUAAAACAUUUUGUUUUUAUUUAUUCUUGUCAUCCGGACAAACUGUGAUUUUAAUGUAUUUUGGAGAGUAUGUGUGGAAGUAAAAUAGUAGUGUUUUGUAUUGUUUUAAUCAUCCCAAUCCUUAACCCAUGUUAGAUUAUGAUAUUAAUUACAAUCACAUGGAUUUGGAAUUUUUGUUUCCCUUCCAUUGCUCUACCUGCAAAAAUCACAAAUCUGACCCAGUUUAAUUUCUAUUCUAACAAAUGGAGGGAUAGAAAGAGAGGAGGAAGAUCACCUAUGGCAGGGGUUCUCAUACUUUGGGGCCAUGGACACAUUUUGAGACUAAUCAGGGAUUCAUCAGGGACCCCCAAAUAAUUGAGAAACAACUGCGGUGAGUUAAGCAGUUUGAAUGAAUGAAGUCUUUGAAAGGAGCAUGUUAAAGGGAAUGGAUAUAACAUUUAGCAAUUUUAAUGUUAAAUUCCUGCAAUCCUACUUAUGUUGUUAUGAGGCAUAGAUAAAGUUUAUAUCACAAUGAAUUUAUGAAUGAUCAAUAAUCCUGUGAACUUUCAAGGCCCUUACAAAACUGUUAAUUAAUAAUUUUAUAUUGUUUUUUAUUACACCAAGCAAUUCCACGGAUCACUUGGCCAAAGCCUAUUUAAUAUGUUGUUGUUGUUGUUAUUGGUUAUAAUAAUAUCAUUUUUGAUAUAGAAAUUGUUUUUACUCCCAAUAAAUGUAUUCCAUGGUUUUCUUGGCCAAAGUCCAUUGGAAAUGUUGUUCUUGUCAUUGGUAAUUAUAGUGCUAUUUCUUAUAUAUUUUUCUAAUUUACAUUUUGUGUUUGUGUAUAUAUGUUGGACCUAUGCCCUCUACCCACAGUUUGAGAACCCCUGGCCUAGAAGACACCAUUAGAGAGCUUUGUUUUAAUGUUAAAGUCACAAGUGUAAAUACUGAAAGAUGCAUUUGUAAAUUUGAACUUUCCACAGUUGUUAAUUAUUCC